GGGAGCGUAGCUCAGUUGGUCAGAGCACACGGCUGAUAAUCGUGUGGUCGAUGGUUCGAAUCCAUUCGUUCCCA
rnacentral:tRNA from 1 species